AAGAAUUUUCACCAGUUGGCAAAAAGGGAACAACACUUGAAAGCAGAUCUCCUGUCUCAGCAGUUGCAUGGACAACUAAAUCCCUAUACAUCACCACAAUUUUUAUGAUCACAUUGAAUGAACACGUAAUUUAAGAAAAAAAAGAAGAAACUUAUGAAAUGUAUCAAUAUCUUUUAUUGAGACAGAAUAAAAAGAAAAGUGAAUCAUACAAAAUAUCGUAAGAUAAAUUACCUCGUGUUUUUGUUAGUUUUUCGUAGAACACCAGAUCUGUUGGAGGUGGUAACAGUGAGAACACGAUCACCAUUGUUGAUUUUAGAAUUGGCUAAAGGAUUGAAGAUCUGAGUUAUAGAUCUGCUGCUGCUGCAAGGAUUAACUA
rnacentral:lncRNA from 1 species